AUGGACAGACAAAUGUCAGGAAAGUUUCCAGGCACUCAAAGACAAGUGACUUCUGCCCCAGUUCUAGCUCCACCUGAUACUAAGAAGGACUUCGUCAUUUACUGCGACGCUUCCCGUCAAGGAUUAGGCUGUGUCCAAAUGCAAGACCGCAAAGUGAUUGCUUAUGCCUCUCGGCAAUUGCGCCCUCACGAAGAGAACUACCCAGUUCACGACCUCGAACUUGCUGCUGUCAUUCAUGCGCUGAAGCAGUGGCGACAUUACCUUCUCGGUAAUCGUUGCGAGAUCUUCACUGACCACCAAAGUCUGAAGUAUCUGUUUACUCAGCCAGAUCUGAACCUUCGUCAACAGAGAUGGAUGGAGCUUGUUGCAGACUUUGACUUGGGUAUUUCCUAUACGCCAGGCAAGGCUAAUGUAAUGGCUGAUGCCUUGAGCCGCAAGUCUUACUACAACCACCUCCAGGUUCACAAGGUUCAGCCCUCGCUUGUUGAAGAAUUCAGGAAGCUGAACCUCCAUAUUGUUCCUCCGGGUGCACUCGCUCCCCCUCCUAAGGAGUUUGGCAAGGUGAACCUCCACGUUGUUACCCAGGGUUCCCUCAAUACCCUAGUUGCUAAACCAGAUCUCGAGGACAGCAUCAAAAGGCUACAGAAGUAUGACUCUGAAGCCCACAAGAUUAAGCGCUACCUCGCAGAAGGAAAGCCCUCAUUCUUCACCAUUGCUGAAGAUGGCACCUUAUACUUCAAGGGCCGCCUAGUGGUGCCAUGUGCAGAGAAAAACCUGGAUAUGACACAGGAAGUAAUGAAAGAAGCUCAUGAUACGCCUCUAUGUAUCCAUCCUGGUAGUACAAAGAUGUACCAAGACAUCCGUCAGAGAUUCUGGUGA
rnacentral:rRNA from 1 species